GCGGGCGUAGCUCAGUUGGCUAGAGCGUCAGCCUUCCAAGCUGAGGGUCGAGGGUUCGAGUCCCUUCACCCGCUCCA
rnacentral:tRNA from 37 species